rnacentral:rRNA from 1 species
CCUACGGGUGGCUGCAGUGAGGAAUAUUGGUCAAUGGGCGGAAGCCUGAACCAGCCAAGUAGCGUGAAGGAUGACGGCCCUACGGGUUGUAAACUGCUUUUAUACAGGAAUAACGCGCCUUACGUGUAGGGCUUUGCAUGUACUGUAUGAAUAAGGAUCGGCUAACUCCGUGCCAGCAGCCGCGGUAAUACGGAAGGUCCGGGCGUUAUCCGGAUUUAUUGGGUUUAAAGGGAGCGUAGGUGGGAUGUCAAGCGAGUUGUGAAAUGUUCGGGCUCAACCCUGACAUUGCAGCGGAUACUGGCGGCCUUGAGUCCGCGUGAGGCAGGCGGAAUUCGUCGUGUAGCGGUGAAAUGCUUAGAUAUGACGAAGAACCCCGAUUGCGAAGGCAGCCUGCUGCAGCGGAACUGACGCUGAUGCUCGAAAGUGCGGGUAUCGAACAGGAUUAGAUACCCUUGUAGUC